ACCUGCCCACUGAAAUAUUUUGAAUGGCCGCAGUAAUUUGACUGUGCAAAGGUAGCAUAAUCAUUAGUUUUUUAAUUAAAAGCUUGUAUGAAGGGUUGGACGAGGUAAAGUCUGUCUUUAUUUAAAUUAUAAUAAAAUUUAAUUUUUAAGUUAAAAAGCUUAAAUACAUGUAAAAGACGAGAAGACCCUAUAGAUCUUUAUAUUAUUAUAAUAUAAUUUUAAUUAGGAAUAUUUAAUUUUUUAUUUUAUAUAUUAUUUUAUUGGGGUAAUAAAAAGAUUAAGUGAAUUCUUUUUGAUAUUUUACAUUAAUUAGUGAAUUUAUGAUCCAAAAUUUUUUGAUUAUAAGAUUAAGUUACCUUAGGGAUAACAGCGUAAUUUUUUUAGAGAGUUCAUAUCGAUAAAAAAGUUUGCGACCUCGAUGUUGGAUUAAAAAUUAUUUUAGGCGCAGAAGUUUAAAAAUUUGGUCUGUUCGACCAUUAAAUUUUU
rnacentral:rRNA from 1 species